rnacentral:rRNA from 1 species
AAAACUAUUUGAUCAAGAUAUAUUUGAGGGCAGUUUGUAGAAAAAUAUAAAUAAAAAUGUAUAUAUGAAUUUAAUAUAUGUAAGUAAAAUUGUAUAUAUUAGGGAAUUAAAUAAAAUACAUGCUAUUAAAUCUACGAAAAAUAAGGUAGAAACUAGGAUUAGAUACCCUGUUAUUCUUAUUCAUAAAACUUCAUAUGCUGGGAGACUACGAGUGUUUAACUUAAAAUCUAAAAGACUUGGCGGUAUUUAAAACUUCUUAGGGGAGCUUGUUUCGUAAUCGAUAAUCCACGUACUACCUGACUUAUUUUAUUAGCUUGUAUAUCGUCAUCUUUAGUUAACUUCWWAGAAAAAUAAAGUUAACGGAAUAAUUUACUUAAAUUAAUAUGUUAGAUCAAGAUGCAGUUUAUAAAUAAGGGAAAAUGAGCUACAAUUAUUAUAUUUAUAUUUCUAAUAAAUAAAUUAAAAUUUUUUUGAGGGAGGACUUAACAGUAAAAUAUUAUAUAAGAAAUAUCUUGAAUAUCUAUUUUAAAUAUGC